rnacentral:rRNA from 1 species
AGAUUGAACGCUGGCGGCAUGCCUUACACAUGCAAGUCGAGCGGCAGCGCGGGGGCAACCCUGGCGGCGAGCGGCGAACGGGUGAGUAAUGCAUCGGAACGUGUCCUCUUGUGGGGGAUAACCAGUCGAAAGAUUGGCUAAUACCGCAUGAGAUCGAAAGAUGAAAGCGGGGGACCGCAAGGCCUCGCGCGAGAGGAGCGGCCGAUGCCGGAUUAGCUAGUUGUGGGUAAAAGCCUACCAAGGCGACGAUCCGUAGCUGGUCUGAGAGGACGACCAGCCACACUGGGACUGAGACACGGCCCAGACUCCUACGGGAGGCAGCAGUGGGGAAUUUUUGGACAAUGGGCGCAAGCCUGAUCCAGCCAUGCCGCGUGUGUGAAGAAGGCCUUCGGUUGUAAAGCACUUUCGGACGAACGAAAUUCGCGCGGUUAAUAGCCUAGCGUGGAUGACGGUACCGUAAGAAGAAGCACCGGCUAACUACGUAGCCAGCAGA